rnacentral:misc_RNA from 1 species
CACAAAUACCAAACAAAAAUUUAUCUAACACACAAAACAGGUAUAUAAGAUACAUUUAGUUAUCGCGCGGUCAUUUACCUACUUCCAAACGCCACCACGUGUUGUAACAUAUAUAAAUGUUACUUGUUCACUGUUUACUUUAAUUUAGAAAUUUUCGAUGUGAUAUUGUUUUUUUGUAUGAGGUGUGGCUCGGUGAAGUAGCAUAGAUCAUACGACUUUAAGCGGGGAUCGUUGGAGGAGGGCCGCACGGGCACUUACAAAAGGUCCGAGCUGCGUGAGCUCCUUCCUUUUUACCUCGAUUCCGGCUACGCAAGUUUAGUGCGGGGUGCGAAUUGUUGGGGUCCUUGGCGUAGCGGUUUCGGCGGUGCCUGAACAGCGUGGUGACCACGUGGCGCGCAAGUGAAGACUUGACCUUAGACCCCAACACCUUGGUUCAUAAGUCGUCGGUAAUUCUAUAUCGUCCCGCACCAGCAGAACCAGCCUACGUAUACCAUCAUCAUUUCCGCUCGGCGGAGCUGAGAGUCUGCGGCAGAGGAAGUCCCGGGGGAAGGAGAAUCUUGAUCGCGACUCCAGCGGAUGGGCGGCUACGAAUCUAAAUAUCAAGUGGAGCGUCGGCCACCGUACCACGUGUUUUCUUUGUCUGACGUUAAGUGACCUACAAUUAACCUUCUAUGUGUCAGGAAUAAUUACUUACGAAUUUCACGAGCUCGUAUUAUAGUUCAAUCAAGUUUAGUGUUCUUUUUUUGGAUUUUUGAUUAUAUAUAUAUAUAUAUAUAUAUAUAUAUAUAUAUAUAUAUAUAUAUAUAUAACUGGGGUAUAACCUUUUGUCG